rnacentral:lncRNA from 1 species
AAUAUAGAUUAACAUUUAUGGAUAAGUGGUAGAAGAUUCUUCAAAGAAAACAACAGAAAUUACAAAAGACAAUAUUGAUAUACUGACCUUAUUGGAAAACUUAUUAAUAUACAUAAAUAAUAAAACACUCAUGUGUUUUUACAAUAAAAGAACUGAUAUAUGAUCAAAGAAUAUAAUCAGUUCACAAAGCAACCAUAAGUACCACAAACUUUCUACUCUUAUUUGAGAAGGACAACACUUCAACUUCACCAUCUUGCCUCAAGACAUUUGCUCUUCAGUUCUGUGUCAUAAUUUAAUUCACUGGGACCUUCACAUUUUCAUCACCUUACAGGGCAGCAAAUUUACCCAUUAUGUACAUGAAUUCAUGUACUUAGGCACACAGGAAAUAGGAGACAGUUUGAAAGUCCUGGUAAAAAAUUUUUUUCCCACUGUUUUAUGAUUCAGGUCAAACUCAGACCAAAUCAGUUUUACCUGUUUUGAUUUAAGAUAUAUUUCCUCAAAGUUAAACAGAAAUUCAAAAUAUUGCACUGGUAUCACAUGUAACUUCUUAAAUAUAAUGUUAAUAAUAUAAUUGAUUUUCAGAGUGAACAAAAGUGGAUAAAACAAAAUUUAUGAUUAGGGAUAGUUAGAAGCAUAGCCUAGUAGUAACAUCUCACUUUUUAGAAAUAAAUGUUUUAUAAAAUCUUUUCAAUAACAACAUUCUUUUUGCCUUCUACGUAAUCCUCUAACAACUCUGUUUCUUCAAAUUUUAUGUGAGAUAAUUUUAUGACAUCUUAGGACAGUAAGAAGCAGCAUUUAUCUAAAAAUCUUAAAAUCAAACAAGAAUGAAAAAGUAUACAGAAAGUCUUACAUGGAGCAGACUCACCAGCAAAGACAUGCCCUCUGCCAACUUCCCAAGCAGGAAAAAAAAACAACAACAACAACAACUUUUAGUUGCAUGAUAUAAUAACGAAAGUAUAUACAAAGAAAAAAGACACCACGACCACCACCACCUAGUUCCUAAACGGGCUGAAGGCCAGGGGUCUGGACAAGAUUUGGGGAAAAAAAGAAAGGAGACAACCAGUAACCUUGGGAAUCAAAGCCACAGGGGUCAGCAGAAACGCUGUACCUUCAAGGGCUUAAAAGCCUUGCAAGCAUCAGGGAGAGGGUUCCCUUUUCACAGCUCUCACUGUAAUUAUAAUUCUUCAUUACUGUCUGAAUCUCCCAUGGGACCGUGAGCUGCAGGAGGGCAGGAGCAGUGCCUGUGUUCUUGACUGCCAUCUCUCCCCACAAAAAAUUGCGCCAGGGAAAUAAAACACAUAAUAGAAAAAGUGAGAGAAGGUGAGAAGGUGAAGGAAAAUGCAUUUUAAAAACUAGGUAAUUGUGUUUACAAAGAACUAAAACUAAAUGUUUCUGGAAACUUCUUUUGUCUCAGUCCGUGUUCUGUUGCUUAUCACAGAAUACCUGCAACUGGGUAAUUUAUAAAGAAAGAGAAUUUAUUUCCUACAGUUAUGGAGUCUGAGAAGUCCAAGUCAGGCUACCUCUGGUGAGAGCCUUCUUCGUAUGCAGAGUCCUGAGGUAGCAGUGGGCACCACAUGGCAAGGUGGCCAUGCGUGCUCAUGUGCUCAGUACUCUCUUCUUCUUCUUAUAAAGCCACCAGUCCCAUUCCUGUGACAACCCACUAAUCCAUUAACCCACACAUCUAUGAAUGGAUUAAUCCCUUCCUGAGGACUCUGCCCUCAGGACCCAAUCACCUUUCAAACGCCCCCACCUCUCACUUCUGCCACGUGGAGGAAUAAAUUUCAAGAUGAGUUUUGGAGGCUACAGAUAAACAAACCCCAGUAGUUUGGUGAUAAGGAGAAUUUUAAUAAUAUCGUAUAAUUUUAUGAUAAAAUAUGACUAUUUAAUUAAUGGUCGGCCGCUUAACAAAGGUAAAAAUUUCUCUCUAAAUGUGAUCAUCAUAGCAAACCGAGGUUUCGCUGACAAAGUAAGUUUCAUCUCCUGAGUAACUUCAUAAAUCAAUGGAAAUUAUCUUUUUUCUGUAUCUAGUAGACAUACUGACUAUUCCUUUGAAGCCAAAUAGUGCCAGGACUUUUUCCUGUGAAGUGGUAUGAGAAGUAAAUCCUUUCUGUGUAACACUGGCUAUGAAAAUUAUACUACAGUUUUUAGUUUAUCCAAUUAAAGAAAUUCUCUUUAAGAGAUUAUUUUUACAAAUUUUAAUGGCAUAUUGGUAGUACAUUCCUUUAAACAGGUCAAAAUUUAGUUAUUUAUUAAGCUGAUAAUAAGAGUUGUAUAACCUUUUCCAUAUUUUAUUAAUUUAGGAUCUCACUGAACAUAUUUGUUUUAAAUACAUUAUGUUUACGGGAUGUGUUUAGAUAUACAAAAGGGAUUUUUUUUUUAUUUUGUUGAUUUUCCCGAUUCUAAUUUUUCCAUAGUCUUCCAUUAAGGGCUCCUCUUUGAGUGAUUAUUUUAAAAUUUACCUUCCUCCUACAUUAUUUUCCAAAUCAAUCUUUUUCCCUUUCUAAAAUAGUACUUUUAUUUAGUUAAAAAAAAUGUCAUAGUGGGAAUGUUAUCAACACAGAAUAGUAGUAUAUAACAGGUUUUGAUUUUGUUUGCAUGAAUCCUAGUCAAUAUUGCCUCUAAAACUUCAAAAACUAACCAGUGAAUAAACAUUAGCCAUUUUCACCUUAGCAAUUUCACAUGAAUCCAUGGAAAACAUAUGCUCCUGACAUAUUCAUAUAUCCUCAAACGCUUUUGUGCUAUAUGUCUGUUGACAAUUCAUAUGGUAUUGCAUUUUGAUUAUGCAAAAUGACAUACAGAGUAAUUUAUUCCUAGGUUAGAGAUAGAAAAGUUACCUAAUCCACAAGCCCCAGGGUACUGUUAGCAGU